CACCGCGGUUAUACGAGAGACCCAAGUUGACAGACAAUCGGCGUAAAGAGUGGUUAAGUACCAUACCCUACUAAAGCCAAACACCUUCAAAGCUGUUAUACGCACCCGAAGGUUAGAAGCCCAAUCACGAAAGUGGCUUUAAACUUACUGAACCCACGAAAGCUAGGGCA
rnacentral:rRNA from 1 species